GCUCUCGUGGUCUAGUAGAAUGAUACGCGCUUUGGGCUUGUUACACAUCACUGUGUAAUCCGAUGCGCGGGGUCCCGGGUUCAAAUCCCGGCGAGGGUC